rnacentral:piRNA from 1 species
UACAAAGUAUGACUUCCAGUUUACUCAAGUC